AUACGGAGGGUCCAAGCGUUAUCCGGAAUCAUUGGGUUUAAAGGGUCCGCAGGCGGUCAAUUAAGUCAGAGGUGAAAGCCCAUCGCUCAACGAUGGAACUGCCUUUGAUACUGGUUGACUUGAGUUAUACGGAAGUAGAUAGAAUAAGUAGUGUAGCGGUGAAAUGCAUAGAUAUUACUUAGAAUACCGAUUGCGAAGGCAGUCUACUACGUAUAUACUGACGCUGAGGGACGAAAGCGUGGGGAGCGAACAGGAUUAGAUACCCUUGUAGUCC
rnacentral:rRNA from 1 species